rnacentral:rRNA from 1 species
CCGGCACGGGUGAGUAACACGUAUCCAACCUGCCGUCUACUCUUGGACAGCCUUCUGAAAGGAAGAUUAAUACAAGAUGGCAUCAUGAGUCCACAUGUUCACAUGAUUAAAGGUAUUCCGGUAGACGAUGGGGAUGCGUUCCAUUAGAUAGUAGGCGGGGUAACGGCCCACCAAGCCUUCGAUGGAUAGGGGUUCUGAGAGGAAGGUCCCCCACAUUGGAACUGGGACACGGUCCAA